rnacentral:rRNA from 1 species
UCAAAAGCAACUGCGGUUGCUUCAGUAAUGGCGAAUGAAUUGGCAAACAAGGCUUUGACUCAGCCUGAAGUGAAUCCCUGCUGCACACAGUUCUGUCUGUUGUGCUUCCGGCUGUGGUGUGAUUCAACCUAUGCUGUGGGCUGCAUGGAGCUUGUGGCUGUGCCCUGCCCUGGUUCUGUCUCAAGAAAGAUCCCUGGAAUUGGACACUGGAAAGAGAGACUGUCUCAUAUGGUGCUGUGGAUGGAGCCAGGCUGGGUGUGGCUGCAGGCAUCCAGGAGUAGAGUUGCUUGGGACUGCAGUUUGAAAUGCAAUGUGUAUCCAUUGCAAGGAAGGAUACUGCCAGGGAACCGAUAGCGCACAAGUACAGUGAAGGAAGGAUGCAAAGCACUUUGCAAAGAGGGUUAAAAGUCCCUGAAGCCUCAGCAGGUACGGCGGUGAGUGGAACUGUGGAAACCACACCAGUGAUGGUGGUGGUUGAUUGUGGAUCUUGUGCUGGUCUCAGCAGCAGAUGUGAGAGCAAAGCACACCACAAUGUGACCUUCUGCCAGUCACAAAUAUUGGUGUUGUGGAGCCAAUCAGUCUUGAGUCAGCCCUGCACUGGCCAUAGAGCCAUGUCCUCUGGAUGUGAUGCCUAUCAUGGCAGUGAUAGAGGUGGAACCAUGUGUGUCUGGACUUGAGACUUGUGCUACAUUUGUGGAGCAAAAGCAACAGCACAGAAGCUUUGUGUGCAAGAUUCUCUGGUUGGAGCUACAAAAGCAGCAAAGCAGCAUGUGCAGGCUGGCUGUCACUGUUGUUGAAAGAAAGAGCCUGGUUUGUCUCCGGACAUUCCAGUGGCCAUGUCUGGCAUAUGGUGUUUGAGACUGGUUGCUGCAUGGUGGCUGCACCAUUCUGCUGGUGGCUCCUGUGUGGCUUCUGGUUUCCCAGUCUGGGCAUGGACAGAUUGUGUGAAGCAGGGUUGCAGACAGAUCUGCCUUGAAAUUCCCUGAGCAUUGGCAACUGAGCAGUGCUACUCACUGCCCGUCUUGAAACACGGACCAAGGAGUCUAUGGAGCUUGCAGGUGGGAGGGUGCUAUCACCAAACCACAGAGCAUGGUGAAGGCAAAGUGUUCUCUCUGUGCCCAGAAGACAUUUUGAUGAUGUGUGCUGCAUGGGCCACCAGACUUGAAUCCAGAGGACAGAGUUCUGAGUGAAGGCAAGGUCCAUGGGACCCGAAAGGUGGUGAACUAUACCAUUCUAUGAUGAAGCCAUGGGAAACUGUGGUGGAAGUCAGCAGCUGUUCUGACGUGCAAAUUGUGUAGCCUGAGUGUGGCAUAGGGGUGAAAGGCCAAUCGAACCACCUAGUAGCUGGUUUCCCUCGAAGUUUCCCUCAGGAUAGCA